AGACGUCUACAUUAGAUACCCCUGUAGUCCCAGCCGUAAACUAUGCGCGUUAGGUGUAUCGGUGACCACGAGUUACCGAGGUGCCGAAGGGAAACCGUGAAACGUGCCGCCUGGGAAGUACGGUCGCAAGGCUGAAACUUAAAGGAAUUGGCGGGGAGCACCACAACAGGUGGAGCCUGCGGUUUAAUUGGACUCAACGCCGGAAGCUCACCGGAUAGGACAGCAGAAUGAUUGCCGGGCUGAAGACCCUGCAUGACUAGCUG
rnacentral:rRNA from 1 species